AGUGAACGCUGGCGGUAGGCCUAACACAUGCAAGUCGAACGGCAGCACAGUAAGAGCUUGCUCUUACGGGUGGCGAGUGGCGGGCGGGUGAGGAAUACAUCGGAAUCUACUUUUUCGUGGGGGAUAACGUAGGGACACUUACGAUAAUACCGCAUACGACCUACGGGUGAAAGCAGUGGAUCUUCGGAGCUUGCGCGUUUGAUUGAGCCGAUGUCGGAUUAGCUAGUUGGCGAGGUAAAGGCCCACCAAGGCGACGAUCCGUAGCUGGUCUGAGAGGAUGAUCAGCCACACUGGAACUGAGACACGGUCCAGACUCCUACGGGAGGCAGCAGUGGGGAAUAUUGGACAAUGGGCGCAAGCCUGAUCCAGCCAUACCGCGUGGGUGAAGAAGGCCUUCGGGUUGUAAAGCCCUUUUGUUGGGAAAGAAAAGCAGCAGGUUAAUACCCCGCUGUUCUGACGGUACCCAAAGAAUAAGCACCGGCUAACUUCGUG
rnacentral:rRNA from 1 species